rnacentral:lncRNA from 1 species
CAGGAGUCGACGUGUGCAGAAGUCCUGCUAGUCUGGUCCUUGUUCCCGUCUGGGUACCAGAUUUCCUUUAGCAGUGCAGACGGUGGAGCCUGACGCCAGGGAAAAGAGGAGCCAACUUCUCGGAAUUUUGCAGGUCUGCAGGUCUGUCGUUCCGAGCACUACACAAGGCUAGAAAAGGGGAAGAAGAAACCGAUCGGAUCAGUACAGAAGUAAUUGUAUUCAAAGAGGAAUAAAGCAGGAAAAAAGAAAGGAAGAGGAAAGGAAAGAAGG